AAACUCUUCAUUAAUCUUCUGAUAUUUCUCCUCUGUGUGAGGUGUGAGGACAUAUGAAGACUCUGGAUCUGGGCUGUCACAACCUCUGUGCUCCUUCUUGUUCAGCACCUGUAGGGAGCAGCAAAGAAUGACGGUUUCAGUUUGGAUGUGUGAAGCAGACGUCCUCAUCUUACCUGUCUGUUUCUCUCAUCCAUUAUGCGGAACGCUUCUCAAGAAAUAUAAGAAAAGAUCAAAGAUUUGUGUCGCUCCAACUAUUUAUGGAACUCAUAAGAUCUAAAAAGUGGCUACACUGAGAAUUACCCAGAGAAUUCCUGCCGGAUGUUCCCAGUGAAG